rnacentral:tRNA from 1 species
UGCCCGUUGGUCCAGAUCGGCAUGGACACCGCGCUCUGAACGCGGAGACCGAGGUUCGAACCCUCGACGGGCAGCGA